rfam:Streptomyces autolyticus strain CGMCC0516, complete genome.
CUUGAUCGAGCCGAGCCACAGUGGCCGGUCCUCCGGCCUGCCCUGCCCGUACGUGGCCAGCAGCGCCUGGGCCUC